rnacentral:rRNA from 1 species
CCCUUAGAGUUUGAUCCUGGCUCAGGACGAACGCUGGCGGCGCGCCUAACACAUGCAAGUCGAACGAGAGAGAGGAAGCUUGCUUCCUCAAUCGAGUGGCGAACGGGUGAGUAACGCGUGAGGAACCUGCCUCAAAGAGGGGGACAACAGUUGGAAACGACUGCUAAUACCGCAUAAGCCCACGGGUCGGCAUCGACCAGAGGGAAAAGGAGCAAUCCGCUUUGAGAUGGCCUCGCGUCCGAUUAGCUGGUUGGUGAGGUAAUGGCCCACCAAGGCGACGAUCGGUAGCCGGACUGAGAGGUUGAACGGCCACAUUGGGACUGAGACACGGCCCAGACUCCUACGGGAGGCAGCAGUGAGGAAUAUUGCACAAUGGGGGAAACCCUGAUGCAGCGACGCCGCGUGGAGGAAGAAGGUCUUCGGAUUGUAAACUCCUGUUGUUGAGGAAGAUAAUGACGGUACUCAACAAGGAAGGACGGCUAUUCUGU